ensembl:lncRNA
CACACACACACACACACACACACACACACACACACACACACACCCCUCCUCCACUCCCUCACACACACUCAUCAUCCUCUCCCUCCCUUCCUCGCUCGCAGACUUCACUUCACACUCCUCUCCUGCCUGAGGUCCCAGCAGUGUGUGUCUGCCCUUCAGCUCCAGCUCCAGCCCGCUCUUCGUCUCUCUCCUCCUCCUCGCUCAGCGUGUGUGUGCCAGACACCCAGAGAGUGUGUGUGACUAAGAGACAGCGCUCCGCAGAAGGCUUAUUUUCGGACCCAAACCGGCAGCAUCGUUUGGAGCCGCUGCCCCUGUCGCUGGUGAUCUGUGCCCUGAGUGCGGAGACCUUCAACAGACACACACACACAGACACACACACACACACGCGCGCGCUUUCACACAUUCGGGUCCAAGAUGAAAAUCCAGCUCCUACUCCUGCUGGCCCUGGCCGGACCCCUCUUCAGCGUUGCUAACGCAAGUACACUGGUGGUCCCCACGGCGGAGGAUCUGGCGGAGGUGACGGCGGCUCCUGCUGCUCCUGAGGCAACCGCCGCUCUCGAAGUCGCCGCCGAGGAACCCCGUCGCGCCCGAAGAGGAAGCUCCCGUUGCCACGGACGCGCCGGCCGAAGCCGAAGCCGCGCCCGCAGCCGAAGCCACUGAAGCCGCUCCGGAGGAAACCGCAGCCGUCGAAGAGGCGGCCGUCGAAGAGGCGGUGACGGAGGCCCCGGUCGCUGCUGAAGAGGCGGAGGUAGAAGUGGCCCCGGCCGAGGUCGCUCCUGAGGAACCGGUCGCCACCGACGCCCCCGUAGAACCCGCCGCAGAACCGGAGGCAGAACCGGAGGCGGAACCCGCAGCGGAACCCGAGCCUGAGCCAGCAGCAGAACCUGCGCCAGAGGAGCCUGCCGUAGAACCCGCCGCAGAACCCGCCGCAGAACCGGAAGCAGAACCGGAAGCAGCAGCAGCAGAGGAGGCACCUGAGGGGGAUGUGACGGUGGAGGAAGAAGGGAUGGGCUCAGGCCAGGUCGUGGGGAUUGUGAUUGGUGCUCUGAUUGCUGUGAUUGUGGUCAUCGUGAUCAUCGUGGUGGUUGUGCGGAGGAUGGGCCAGUACUCGGCCGCAAAGAAACGCAAGCCUGAGAAAAAAGAAAGCAUCUUGAUUUCUCCCUUGAGAAGGAAGGCGGCUCGACAGGAACCUCCUCCAAAGAAGUUCUGGAUUUUCUGAACUACUGAAUGAUGUCACUUCCUGUCGAAAUAUCUAAGCAUGCUCCAAGCACUCUAACACAUCCAGGAUCCUGGACUAUCGCCAAACGGAGGAGGCAGACCCCCCUGUCCCCCCCCCCCCCCCCCC